UGGGGAAUAUUGCACAAUGGAGGGAACUCUGAUGCAGCGACGCCGCGUGAGUGAUGAAGGAUUUCGUUUCGUAAAACUCUGUUCUAUGGGAAGAAAAGGACUGUACCAUAGGAGAAAGCUCCGGCUAAAUACGUGCCAGCAGCCGCGGUAAUACGUAUGGAGCGAGCGUUGUCCGGAAUUAUUGGGCGUAAAGGGUGCGCAGGCGGCUUUACAAGUUGGAUGUGAAAUAUUGUGGCUCAACCACAAACGUGCAUCCAAAACUGCAAAGCUUGAGUUAAGGAGAGGUAAGUGGAAAUCCUGGUGUAGCGGUGGAAUGCGUAGAUAUCAGGAGGAAUACCGGUGGCGAAGGCGACUUACUGGACUUAAACUGACGCUCAGGCACGAAAGCGUGGGGAGCAAACAGG
rnacentral:rRNA from 1 species